AUUGAACGCUGGCGGCAGGCCUAACACAUGCAAGUCGAGCGGAUGAACAGAGCGAGCUUCUUGGUUCAGCAGCGGAGGGGCGGGCAGUGCCGAGGAACCUCCCAAUUAUUUUUUUAGUGGGUUCGAAAGCGGGCACUAUUACGGCAUACGCCCAGAGGGCGAACGGGUGAAAGCAUGGGAUCUUCGACACUCCAGUGAUCCGAGGGGCCUAUGUCGGAUUAGCUGGUUGGGGGGGUAACGGCCCACCAAGGCGACGAUGCGUGGCUGGUCUGAGAGGAUGAUCAGCCACACUGGAACUGAGACACGGUCCAGACUCCUACGGGAGGCAGCAGUGGGGAAUAUUGGACAAUGGGCGCAAGCCUGAUCCAGCCAUGCCGCGUGUGUGAAGAAGGCCUUCGGAUUGUAAAGCCCUUUAGGUGGGGAGGAAGGGCAGUAAGUUAAUACCCCGCUGUUCUGACGUUACCCAAAGAAUAAGCACCGGCUAACUUCGUG
rnacentral:rRNA from 1 species